GGGGGUAUGGUUCAAUGGUAGAACAUUGGUCUCCAAAACCAAAGAUCAGGGUUCGAUUCCUUGUACCCCCG
rfam:Candidatus Niyogibacteria bacterium RIFCSPLOWO2_01_FTLL_45_48 rifcsplowo2_01_scaffold_5172, whole genome shotgun sequence.